UUCCAAUAGGCAAACAACAAAGCUGCACACUGAGAGAAUUUACUAUAUAUGACACAAGAAAGGAAACUUGUAUUUCAUCGUAAUCUAUUUUCUUUCUUAAUAACAACAACUUAUUUAAGAAUUUAAGCAAAUUUUGAAAUUUUUAAUGUCUGGUCAUUCCACGUAUCUCUGGAGCUUAGCAUUAUGCCUAGCACACGGGACAUAAAGAACAAAUAUCCAUGGAAGGACUACAUUUCAAAUGCAUUUUAUCAAAAAAGUCAGAAAGUUAAAGUCCCAAUGCCUCUUGAAAAUUACUUUUGGAGCCAAGACAAGCCGUGCCAUCAGAUGCCGUUCUCAGGAUCAAUGCCAUCAAGCUACAGAUGGAACCCCAAAUGACCUCAACUAACAACUUCUACCGAGGACCCCUGGACUGACCCGCUGACCCUUUGACUGGCCUAAAGAGUUCUCCUCUGGAGGACACUACAACUGCAGGGCCCCUUCUUCACCCCUAUCCAGCAGGAAGUAGCUAGCGCAGACAUCGCCCAAUUCCCAACAGCAGUUGGGGUGUCCUGUUUAGAGUGGGGCUUCUGGGUCAGGUGGGGACUUGGAUAACUUUUGUGUCUAGCUAAAGGAUAAUAAAUGCACCAAUCAGCACUCUGUAAAAUGGACCAAUCAGCACUCUGCAAAAUAGACCCAUCAGCAGGAUGUGGGCAGGGCCAAAUAAGGGAAUACAAGCUGGCCACCCGAGCCAGCAGCGACAACCCGCUCGGGUCCCCUUCCACACUGUGGAAGCUUUGUUCUUUUACUUUUCACAAUAAAUCUUGCUGCUGCUCACUCUUUGGGUCCACACACCUUUAAGAGCUGUAACACUCACUGCAAAGGUCUGCGGCUUCACUCCUGAAGUCAGCAAGACCAGGAAGGAAGAAACUCCGGACACAUUUGAACAUCUGAAGGAGCAAACUCCUGACACACCAUCUUUAAGAACUAUAACACUCCCCGCGAGGGUCCACAGCUUCAUUCUUGAAGUCAGCGAGACCAAGAACCCACCAGAAGAAACCAAUUCUGGACACAACAUGAUAUUAUUUAAGUGUCCCAAAUGCGUAACCUAAAUACAGCCAUGAGGAAACGUCAAAAGCACACAAAUUAAAGAACAGUCUUCUAAAUAACUACCUCAUAUUUUUUCAAAAAUAUCAAAAGUAGAAUAGCAAAAGACUUACAAACAGAUCUAAACUAAAGGAAACUGAAGAGACAAUGCAACCAAAUGCAAUGUUUGGUCCCAAAUUAGAUCUUGGCAAGAUAAAUAUAUCUAUAAAGUACAUUAUUAGGAAACUGUAUGAUCUUAGACAGUAGUAUUGUAUCUUUGAAUUUUAUAAUUUUCAUAAUUGUAAUCUGGCUGAGAUUCUUUUUUUAGGAAAUACUGAAUAAUUUGGAGUAUAGAAAUGAUAUUUGUGUUUUAUUUUCAAAAUGUUUAUAAUAUAUUGUAGAGAGUGAAAAAUCAAAUAUUACAAAUUAUUAAAAAUUGG
rnacentral:lncRNA from 1 species